rnacentral:snoRNA from 1 species
AAUGCCUUAGAUAAAUGCAAUACGUUCAUGAUUUUGCAAAUUAUGAGAGAAAUUUUAUUUGAGGCUAAAAAAAAAAAAAAAAAAAGUGUAUUCAGUGAUAAAACGAGUUAAGCAAUUUCUUCAUAUUUGUCGACUCACCUGACGCUGACACAUAAGUCCUUC